rnacentral:lncRNA from 1 species
AUGCAUUUAACCAGUCAUCUGCUAGUCCCUUUUCUUCGUCUAUUUCCUCCAAUCCAUUUGCUACAAAACCUUUUGGAACUGGAAGCACGCCUACAUUCAGUCCUGCACCUUUUACUGCUUCACCUUCAUCUAAUCCUUUCCAGUCGGCCUCGGCUUUUGCAUCAACAUCAUCUACUGGAUUUGGAGGCAACACAGCUUCAUCCAUUUUUGGCCCCUCUACUUCACCCUCGUUUGGUUCAGGAUCAUCCUUGUUCAACUCUAGCACAGGGCAAACAACUUCUUCACCAUUUGGAAAUUUUGCUAACACUCAGCCAUCGCUUUCAUUCCCGUCCACCACACCAUCU